rnacentral:rRNA from 1 species
CGGAUUCUGGCUCAGGAUGAACGCUAGCUACAGGCUUAACACAUGCAAGUCGAGGGGCAGCAUGUGGUGCUGCAACCAAUGAUGGCGACCGGCGCACGGGUGAGUAACGCGUAUCCAACCUUCCCCUUAGUAGAGGAUAGCCCGGCGAAAGUCGGAUUAAUACUCUAUGUUCUUCAAUGCGGGCAUCUAAGUUGAAGCAAAGAUUUAUCGCUAAGGGAUGGGGAUGCGUCUGAUUAGGUUGCAGGCGGGGUAACGGCCCACCUGGCCUACGAUCAGUAGGGGUUCUGAGAGGAAGGUCCCCCACACUGGUACUGAGACACGGACCAGACGCCUACGGGAGGCAGCAGUGAGGAAUAUUGGUCAAUGGGCGCGAGCCUGAACCAGCCAAGUAGCGUGCAAGGACGACUGCCCUAUGGGUUGUAAACUGCUUUUAUCAGGGAAUAAAGUGAGGCACGCGUGCCUUUUUGUAUGUACCUGAUGAAUAAGGACCGGCUAAUUCCGUGCCAGCCGCCGC